GGGGCUGAUUCUGGAUUCGACGGGAUUUGCGAACCCCAAGGUGCAUGCCGAGGGGCGGUUGGCCUCGUAAAAAGCCGCAAAAAAUAGUCGCAAACGACGAAAACUACGCUUUAGCAGCUUAAUAACCUGCUUAGAGCCCUCUCUCCCUAGCCUCCGCUCUUAGGACGGGGAUCAAGAGAGGUCAAACCCAAAAGAGAUCGCGUGGAAGCCCUGCCUGGGGUUGAAGCGUUAAAACUUAAUCAGGCUAGUUUGUUAGUGGCGUGUCCGUCCGCAGCUGGCAAGCGAAUGUAAAGACUGACUAAGCAUGUAGUACCGAGGAUGUAGGAAUUUCGGACGCGGGUUCAACUCCCGCCAGCUCCACCA
rnacentral:tmRNA from 1 species